rnacentral:rRNA from 1 species
CAGGAUGAACGCUAGCGGCAGGCCUAACACAUGCAAGUCGAGGGGUAACAUUGUGCUUGCACAGAUGACGACCGGCGCACGGGUGCGUAACGCGUAUGCAAUCUACCUUUUACAGGGGCGUAGCCCAGAGAAAUUUGGAUUAAUGCCUCAUAGUAUAUAGAAAUGGCAUCAUUUUUAUAUUAAAGAUUUAUCGGUAAAAGAUGAGCAUGCGUUCUAUUAGUUAGUUGGUAAGGUAACGGCUUACCAAGACCGCGAUAGAUAGGGGUCCUGAGAGGGAGAUCCCCCACACUGGUACUGAGACACGGACCAGACUCCUACGGGAGGCAGCAGUGAGGAAUAUUGGACAAUGGGCGAGAGCCUGAUCCAGCCAUGCCGCGUGCAGGAAGACUGCCCUAUGGGUUGUAAACUGCUUUUAUACAGGAAGAAACACUGCUACGUGUAGCAGCUUGACGGUACUGUAAGAAUAAGGAUCGGCUAACUCCGUGCCAGCAGCCGCGGUAAUAC